rnacentral:tRNA from 1 species
UCCCUGGUGGCCUAGCAGCUAAGGACUCAGCAUUGUCAUGGCUGUGGUUCGGGUUCGAUACCUGGCCAGGGAA